CCCAGAAUGCUUCACGCUAGACUUGAAACCAAAACAAAUAGCAAAUAUAUCAUGUAGAGGAUCAAGAGUCUAAUUUCUAUACGAUGUCAAGUGAGCACCGGCAAAUAAUAAGAUAUGUCCAAUGAGUCUUGUUACUCCAUAAAAGGUCAAGACUUUAUAUGCUGUACAAGCAAACUCCAUGAUCUUUGUGAAAACACACGAAAACCUCCCUGUUUUUCUUGCAUUUUUGUGUUUGGUUGAAUAGCAAACGUGUGCUAAAAAUACCAAGGACACUUAUCGCUUAAGUGCAGUGCGCAGACUAAAGAUUUCACUAGCGCAUAAUUUAACGCGCGCAGACAAGGGAUGCGAAAACGUGCCCAUUUGCACGUCUUGCCGAUGAAUAACUCGACAUAUUCACACUUAGAAACAUAGCACCGUAAUCCUUGCUUGUUCCACCUCCAGCCCCUCGAACUUCACAUCAAGUUUUUAACAAAACUAUCACCGAGGAAGUAACACCAUGUUUUUUCAAAGUGCAGCGCGAUUCUCGCGUGUUUUGGCUGGUCAAAACGCCUUUCUCGGAAAACAGACUCUUCGUCCUUCGAUGUUGUUAAACCGACGAGGGAUUUUCUACACUCAGAGAAAGCGACCAUCCACACCCGAGGAAAACAUGGCCAUGGCCAUUGGACUAGUGGCUGCGGGAACUAUGAUUAGCGUAUGUCUGAAGCUUGGUGUUUUCCACAUGAACUAUGGAUUCCACUCAGAAGCGUGGCCAAUGAAGUACGACCAGGAGGAAUGAGCCCCAGUGAAAGCUAAAGGGUUGCAAGAUGUGCAUGCCUCUAAUAUUAAACUGUUUUUAAUAUAUGGAACUAAGUAAAACUGGUGUGAAUAAUUAUAAACUUAGAUUUUGUAAGUUCAGGAGUGUAUGUAUUAUUUUGUUGUUUCAUGGUUGGUGGACGGAAGCAUAGACGAUACCGCAGAUGUGAGAGCUAUGUUUAAUAAGUGAGAGUAUCGCGAGCACUGUCUGGAAAAAAAUGUUGUAAAAGAAAAAGGAAUUAAAACCAGAUAAUUUUA